rnacentral:lncRNA from 1 species
GUCUCUAAGUCCUAUAGCCUCACCUAACAAUUAUUGGUAUAUUUUUUAGCUAAGUCAAACCCACCAUUCAGCAGAGACCGCAGAGCCAUCAUUGGGUCUCUCACCUAAUAGUUAUUAGGUCCAACCCUAUCUCCACUCCGGGACAUCAACUGCCAAUAGAGUGGUUGUGUCUCUCUGAUGCAACCGAACUACUGUAACCAGUCGAGAAUGAUCAACGUC